rnacentral:rRNA from 1 species
GACGAACGCUGGCGGCGUGCCUAAUACAUGCAAGUCGAGCGGACCAAAGGGAGCUUGCUCCUGGAGGUUAGCGGCGAACGGGUGAGUAACACGUGGGCAACCUGCCUGUAAGACUGGGAUAACAUCGAGAAAUCGGUGCUAAUACCGGAUAAUAAAAAGAACUGCAUGGUUCUUUUUUGAAAGAUGGUUUCGGCUAUCACUUACAGAUGGGCCCGCGGCGCAUUAGCUAGUUGGUGAGGUAACGGCUCACCAAGGCAACGAUGCGUAGCCGACCUGAGAGGGUGAUCGGCCACACUGGGACUGAGACACGGCCCAGACUCCUACGGGAGGCAGCAGUAGGGAAUCUUCCGCAAUGGACGAAAGUCUGACGGAGCAGCGCCGCGUGAGUGAUGAAGGUUUUCGGAUCGUAAAACUCUGUUGUUAGGGAAGAACAAGUGCCGUUCGAAAGGGCGGCACCUUGACGGUACCUAACGAGAAAGCCACGGCUAACUACGUGCCAGCAGCCGCGGUAAAG